GACGUAGGGCGCGAGCGUUGUCCGGAUUUAUUGGGCGUAAAGAGCUCGUAGGCGGCUUGUCGCGUCGACUGUGAAAUCCCGCGGCUCAACUGCGGGUCUGCAGUCGAUACGGGCAGGCUAGAGUUCGGUAGGGGAGACUGGAAUUCCUGGUGUAGCGGUGAGAUGCGCAGAUAUCAGGAGGAACACCGGUGGCGAAGGCGGUUCUCUGGGAAUUACCUGACGCUGAGGAGCGAAAGCAUGGGGAGCGAACAGG
rnacentral:rRNA from 1 species